UACGAAGGGGGCGAGCGUUGUUCGGAUUUACUGGGCGUAAAGGGCGCGCAGGCGGUCAUUUUUGUCGGGUGUGAAAGCCCCGGGCUUAACCUGGGAACUGCGCUCGAAACGGGAUGACUAGAGAUCGGGAGAGGAGAGUGGAAUUCCCAGUGUAGAGGUGAAAUUCGUAGAUAUUGGGAAGAACACCGGUGGCGAAGGCGGCUCUCUGGACCGAGACUGACGCUGAGGCGCGAAAGCGUGGGGAGCGAACAGG
rnacentral:rRNA from 1 species